UACGUAGGUGACAAGCGUUGUCCGGAUUUACUGGGCGUAAAGAGCGCGCAGGCGGUCGUUCAAGUCGAGUGUGAAAGCCCCCGGCUCAACUGGGGAGGGUCAUUCGAUACUGAUCGACUCGAAGGCAGGAGAGGGUAGUGGAAUUCCCGGUGUAGUGGUGAAAUGCGUAGAUAUCGGGAGGAACACCGGUGGCGAAGGCGGCGACCUGGGUCGACACUGACGCUGAGGCGCGAAAGCGUGGGGAGCAAACAGG
rnacentral:rRNA from 1 species